CCUACGGGUGGCAGCAGUGGGGAAUAUUGCACAAUGGGGGAAACCCUGAUGCAGCGACGCCGCGUGAGUGAAGAAGUAUUUCGGUAUGUAAAGCUCUGUCAGCAGGGAAGAAAUAAAGUCCUUCUGACUUUGAGCGGUACCUGACUAAGAGACCCCGGCUAACUACGUGCCCGCGGCCGCGGUAAUACGUAGGGGGCAAGCGUUCUCCGGAUUUACUGGGUGUAAAGGGGUCGUAGACGGUAGCGCAAGUCGGGAGUGCAAUCCCAGGGCUUAACCAUGGAACUGCUUUGGAAACUGUGCAGCUGGAGUGUAGGAGAGGCAGGCGGAAUUCCUGGUGUAGGGGUGAAAUGCGUAGAUAUUAGGAGGAACACCAGUGGCGAAGGCGGCCUGCUGGAAAGAAACUGACGUUGAGGCUCGAAAGCGUGGGGAGCAAACAGGAUUAGAUACCCGGGUAGUC
rnacentral:rRNA from 1 species